AGUGAACGCUGGCGGUAGGCCUAACACAUGCAAGUCGAACGGCAGCACCGUAAGAGCUUGCUCUUACGGGUGGCGAGUGGCGGACGGGUGAGGAAUACAUCGGAAUCUACUUUUUCGUGGGGGAUAACGUAGGGAAACUUACGCUAAUACCGCAUACGACCUACGGGUGAAAGCAGGGGAUCUUCGGACCUUGCGCGAGUGAAUGAGCCGAUGUCGGAUUAGCUAGUUGGCUGGGUAAAGGCCCACCAAGGCGACGAUCCGUAGCGGGUCUGAGAGGAAGAUCCGACACCCUGGAACUGAGACACGGCACAGACUCCGACGGGAGGCAGCAGUGGGGAAUAUUGGACAAUGGGCGAAAGGCUGAUCCAGCAAUACCGCGUGGGUGAAGAAGGACUUCGGGUUGUAAAGCCCUUUUGUUGGGAAAGAAAAGCAGCAGGUUAAUACCCCGCUGUUAUGACGGUACCCAAAGAAUAAGCACCGGCUAACUUCGUG
rnacentral:rRNA from 1 species